UGGCUGCUGGGACAGGAGGGAAGGAAGUCAGUGGAGAUGCUGCCGGGAGACCCCUAUCAGCACCAAGCCCCGUCCUUCCUCUGCUCCAACCGAUGAAGGGUAGGGCAGGCAGGGGCCGGAACUAGGUGUGGAGCCAGCAGCCCAUCCCUGGCUGGCAGCCCCCCAGCCCCAGGGCUUCUCCCCAGAGCAGCAGAAGGGCAGCGUGCGCACAGGGGCAAGGCGGGAAGACUGACCCCCCACAGAUCGCAGUGACCCGCACGAGGAGUCGGGCCCCAGACCACAUGCCAACCAGGAAGCAAAGGCCAAGAAAGCAGGAGGCUGGUGGCUCCAGAGGGCUCAGGGGCCCCUGGACUCAGCCCUCGGAGCCAGAAUCACUGAGCCAGGCAAGGGAAGGCUGGCUGUCCCCAGCGAGGACAACCCCCAGCCAAAGAAUGGAAACCCAGAUGUCCCUUAGCGGUGAAGAGUUAACCAACUGUGAGCCUGGAGGCAUAAAAAGGAAGAGCUACUGAUACAGGCACCAACCUGCAGGAAUCUCCAGAGAAUCAUGAUGUGUGGAAAAAGCCAGUCCCCAAAGGUUACACACUGUAUGAUUCCCUUUAUAUAACAUCCUCGAAAUGACGAAAUUAUAGAAAUGGAGAGCACACUGGUGGUUGCCAGGGGUUAAACGUGGGGAGAAGGGAAGCGAGUGGGAAUAUAAGAAGGUGGGGAUGGAAAUACAUGUAUCUCAACUGUAUUGAUGGAGUUAGUACCCUCCUGUGAUACUGUGCUACAGUUUUGCAAGAUGUUACCACUAGGGAAAGCCAGUAAAGGACGCAGAGCUCUUUGUGUUAUUUCUUAUAACUGCUUAUAAAUCUAUAAUUCUCUCAAAAUAAAAAUUUACUUAAUGUACAA